rnacentral:rRNA from 1 species
UACAGAGGUCCCAAGCGUUGUUCGGAUUCACUGGGUUUAAAGGGUGCGUAGGCGGGUUGGUAAGUCCGUGGUGAAAUCCCCAAGCUUAACUUGGGAACUGCCGUGGAUACUAUCAAUCUUGAAUAUCGUGGAGGUAAGCGGAAUAAGUCAUGUAGCGGUGAAAUGCUUAGAUAUGACAUAGAACACCAAUUGCGUAGGCAGCUUACUACACGAUCAUUGACGCUGAGGCACGAAAGCGUGGGGAGCAAACAGG